rnacentral:rRNA from 1 species
AGAGUUUGAUCAUGGCUCAGGAUGAACGCUGGCGGCGUGCUUAACACAUGCAAGUCGAACGGUGAAGCCCAGCUUGCUGGGUGGAUCAGUGGCGAACGGGUGAGUAACACGUGAGCAACCUGCCCUGGACUCUGGGAUAAGCGCUGGAAACGGCGUCUAAUACUGGAUAUGAACCACGAAGGCAUCUUCAGUGGUUGGAAAGAUUUUUCGGUCUGGGAUGGGCUCGCGGCCUAUCAGCUUGUUGGUGAGGUAAUGGCUCACCAAGGCGUCGACGGGUAGCCGGCCUGAGAGGGUGACCGGCCACACUGGGACUGAGACACGGCCCAGACUCCUACGGGAGGCAGCAGUGGGGAAUAUUGCACAAUGGGCGGAAGCCUGAUGCAGCAACGCCGCGUGAGGGAUGACGGCCUUCGGGUUGUAAACCUCUUUUAGCAAGGAAGAAGCUUUUGUGACGGUACUUGCAGAAAAAGCGCCGGCUAACUACGUGCCAGCAGCCGCGGUAAUACGUAGGGCGCAAGCGUUAUCCGGAAUUAUUGGGCGUAAAGAGCUCGUAGGCGGUUUGUCGCGUCUGCUGUGAAAUCCCGAGGCUCAACCUCGGGCCUGCAGUGGGUACGGGCAGACUAGAGUGCGGUAGGGGAGAUUGGAAUUCCUGGUGUAGCGGUGGAAUGCGCAGAUAUCAGGAGGAACACCGAUGGCGAAGGCAGAUCUCUGGGCCGUAACUGACGCUGAGGAGCGAAAGGGUGGGGAGCAAACAGGCUUAGAUACCCUGGUAGUCCACCCCGUAAACGUUGGGAACUAGUUGUGGGGUCCUUUCCACGGAUUCCGUGACGCAGCUAACGCAUUAAGUUCCCCGCCUGGGGAGUACGGCCGCAAGGCUAAAACUCAAAGGAAUUGACGG